UACAGAGGUCUCAAGCGUUGUUCGGAUUCAUUGGGCGUAAAGGGCGCGUAGGCUGCGGGGCAAGUCGGGUGUGAAAUCUCAGAGCUCAACUCUGAAACUGCACUCGAUACUGCUUUGCUUGAGGACUGGAGAGGAGAUUGGAAUUCACGGUGUAGCAGUGAAAUGCGUAGAUAUCGUGAGGAAGACCAGUGGCGAAGGCGGAUCUCUGGACAGUUCCUGACGCUGAGGCGCGAAGGCCAGGGGGAGCAAAACGGGG
rnacentral:rRNA from 1 species